UGGAGUUUUCUUGCAGUUUUGAAUUACUUUGUGUCUUAUUUCGUGUGUAGUAUCGGUGCCUCCCUCCCAGGUCUACCCCCAAUACAUGCACUAUCGCCCCACAAAUGUAGGACGUUUCGAUCUUUACAAAAUUGAAACGUCGGAUGAUAUUAAGUAAUUCCGCUUUUGAAUUUAUUACUGACCGAAAAGCCAAUCCAAGAGGGAUCAAAAACAUAUCCACCGAUCGUCUUCACAUUCAGUUGGACAUCAUGUUGGCACAAAAUGGGAAUGGUUAAACCAACAUGUCGGUGAUGAGAAAAAAAAAACGAUGAACUUCUUCCCUCCCGUUCAACAAUUUGUAUGCAGAACAGCAUACUCGCAGCAACAAAACGGAAUCGCCGAGAAAAAGAACCGUUCGCUGGUGGAGAUGGCUAGGUGUAUGUUACUGGCAGAGAUGCAUUUGAACGCGUUCUGUUCAUGAUCUGUUCAAAGCAUGUGCUCACGAGAGCGGUGAUCAAGUUCAAACAAUUAGCGUCGUUUGAACACAGUGCACUGUUCAUCGCCUGGCAACCAUUUCUAUCAGUCAUGGUUUCUCCGCCGGGUAUAGCAAAUACUGGCCAAUUAGGCAAGUUAGAAUUGAUCAUAGAUCUAAUCCACCAAAAUGCUGUUGAAACCCGACGAUACAAAAGUGGCCCAACAGUAGCGUCUUGGAGACGAUAUCUGUUGUCAUUCCAAACAGGGACCGCACGAUGAGUUCUGUUCAACAAACGUUUACAGCCUUGUGAACCUUUCUCCUGAAAGUUCAUAAAAAAAUGGUGUUGUUUUUGAAUGUUCGGAUAAUUUCAAUAUAUUUUCUAAAAUAAAUUGUAUACAAUACAUCUAACAAUGCUCGUUUUGUCUGUUACAAGUGUUAUUUGAAAAUCGAUCGACAAUCAUGAUAUUUUGGAAGGUUUACUCUUACUAUACGAAUGUCAAUUUGCCCUGCUGCCGAUUAACUUACAUCCGUUCGUUCACUUCUUUCGAAUUAUUACGAUCCACCCAUGUAGAGUCAUUCGAUUUUCGGCAGAGUUUUGUCGAAGGGCAAGAGUUGUUAAUGUGCACAUUGCGUUGUUUUUCAGAAUUUGUCCCAUCAUUUGACAACUCUAGCGUAACAUUUGAAAAGGGCCUAACUGCAAAAUGUAAACAAACUUGAUUAUUCAUUAUUCGUAUAAUUUUUUACGUGAAUUACUCCUACAUACUCUUACGGGCAUGAAAAAUGCAUUAUUAAUGGUAAUUUUAUUCAAAUUUACAAGGGCCUAUCUGAAAAUGAUAAAACUAAGAGGGCCUAACUGGUCAUAAAAGGGCCUAACUGAAAAUUUCCAUCAAAAUCAGAUUGGCCCUUCCAUGCGUUUUUAAUUUUCCUCCAUAUUUUUCAAUAUUUAGCCAUUGUAUAGUGUUUCUCUCGAAUAAUGGAACCUAGUGAAAUAUUUGAAAAGGGUCUAUCAG